UAGGGAAUCUUCCGCAAUGGGCGAAAGCCUGACGGAGCAACGCCGCGUGAGUGAUGAAGGUCUUCGGAUCGUAAAACUCUGUUAUUAGGGAAGAACAAAUGUGUAAGUAACUAUGCACGUCUUGACGGUACCUAAUCAGAAAGCCACGGCUAACUACGUGCCAGCAGCCGCGGUAAUACGUAGGUGGCAAGCGUUAUCCGGAAUUAUUGGGCGUAAAGCGCGCGUAGGCGGUUUUUUAAGUCUGAUGUGAAAGCCCACGGCUCAACCGUGGAGGGUCAUUGGAAACUGGAAAACUUGAGUGCAGAAGAGGAAAGUGGAACUCCAUGUGUAGCGGUGAAAUGCGCAGAGAUAUGGAGGAACACCAGUGGCGAAGGCGACUUUCUGGUCUGUAACUGACGCUGAUGUGCGAAAGCGUGGGGAUCAAACAGG
rnacentral:rRNA from 1 species